rnacentral:tRNA from 1 species
UGCAUCGGCCGGGAAUCGAACCCAGGCCGCCCGCGUGGCAGACGAGCAUUCUACCACUAAGCCACCGAUGC